rnacentral:rRNA from 1 species
UACGUAGGGUGCAAGCGUUCAUCGGAAUUACUGGGCGUAAAGCGUGCGCAGGCGGUUUUGUAAGUCUGAUGUGAAAUCCCCGGGCUCAACCUGGGAAUUGCAUUGGAGACUGCAAGGCUAGAAUCUGGCAGAGGGGGGUAGAAUUCCACGUGUAGCAGUGAAAUGCGUAGAGAUGUGGAGGAACACCGAUGGCGAAGGCAGCCCCCUGGGUCAAGAUUGACGCUCAUGCACGAAAGCGUGGGGAGCAAACAGG